rnacentral:ncRNA from 1 species
GGUGCGCAGCAGCGCUUAAUAGGGAAGUUCGGUAGAGGCCGACGCGAUCCCGUCACUGUGACAGGGAGUCUUCCCCCGUAGACCACUGAGGCGAAAGCUUUGGGAAGGGGCGGGGAGGGCGAUGAUCUGGAGCCAGGAGACCUGCCUGAUGG